rnacentral:rRNA from 1 species
AUUGAACGCUGGCGGCAGGCCUAACACAUGCAAGUCGAGCGGAUGAAGGGAGCUUGCUCCUGGAUUCAGCGGCGGACGGGUGAGUAAUGCCUAGGAAUCUGCCUGGUAGUGGGGGAUAACGUCCGGAAACGGGCGCUAAUACCGCAUACGUCCUGAGGGAGAAAGUGGGGGAUCUUCGGACCUCACGCUAUCAGAUGAGCCUAGGUCGGAUUAGCUAGUUGGUGGGGUAAAGGCCUACCAAGGCGACGAUCCGUAACUGGUCUGAGAGGAUGAUCAGUCACACUGGAACUGAGGAACGGUCCCGACUCCUACAGGGAGCAACAGUGGGGAAUAUUAGGCAAUGGGGCAAAGGCUGAUCCAGCCCAGGCGGGUGUGUGAAGAAGGUCUUCGGAUUGGUAAACACUUUAAGUUGGGGGGAAGGGCAGUUAGUUAAUACCUUGCUGUUUUGACGGUACCAACAGAAUAAGCACCGGCUAACUUCGUG